CACAUCGCUCGAGUGGGCAGCCGCAGUCAAUGAGGCGUCUACGUAUAUAUGUCUAUGUUUAGGAGGCCAUAGCGUUUUCUCUGUCUUUUCCGUCUUGGGUUGCCAGAGGGGAGCCACGCUUGCAGUGAAGAGUAGAAAUCGAAAUAGCCUUUGUUAGCGAAGUUAUAAGGCCACACUAUUGAGGCACACACUAUUCCACGCGGGAGGGGUUGUGUCGGUGAUGGCAGCUUAAGAAGCUGAACGAAACGUUGCUCCGGCAUACUGCUCUCUCUCUUGUGGGGAGUCUGAACCUCUACUUCACUCUAGUGACGCACAUGGGAAUAGGUCAGGUCUUUUCUGUAUGCUGAAAAAAGAGGAUCUGUGUUCCAGUGGAUUCAUUGGAUGGCGAGCCACCCAGUUGAUAUUUAGGACCAGCGUUUGUGUUCUGCUGAAACAGCAGAUCCAACCUUCUGCUGUAUGGUAGGAUCGUGAAGCACAUUGGAUCAUACAGGUCUCAGAUCACUGUGAACGGAAGUGCACUUCGAUACUCAGAUCUCUUGACUUUGGACUCACAGAUUAAAUGUGAAAUUGAUCUGUGCUGACUUGUGACUAAGACAAUAUUUCCAAGCGUUGAGCAGAUAAAAGAAACACACAGACAAUUUAUUUUGUUUUAAGGGCCCUCUUUUUUAUUUUUCUUAAAUCAUUUUGUAUUUCCUGUUGCAAUUUAAAAGUGCAUAGUAAAAUACUGCAAACUGUU